AUUGAACGCUGGCGGCGUGCUUAACACAUGCAAGUCGAGCGGUAACAGGCGUAGCAAUACGUGCUGACGAGCGGCGAACGGGUGCGUAAUACAUCGGAAUCUGCCUAGUAGUGGGGAAUAACCCGGCGAAAGCCGGGCUAAUGCCGCAUACGAUCCACGGAUGAAAGCGGGGGACUUUCGGGCCUCGCGCUAUUAGAUGAGCCGAUGCCGGAUUAGCUAGUUGGNGAGGUAACGGCUCACCAAGGCGACGAUCCGUAGCUGGUCUGAGAGGACGGCCAGCCACACUGGGACUGAGACACGGCCCAGACUCCUACGGGAGGCAGCAGUGGGGAAUCUUGCGCAAUGCGCGAAAGCGCGACGCAGCAACGCCGCGUGGGGGAAGAAGGCCUCGGUUG
rnacentral:rRNA from 1 species